rnacentral:rRNA from 1 species
GACGAACGCUGGCGGCGUGCUUAACACAUGCAAGUCGAACGGAAAGGCCCUGCUUUUGUGGGGUGCUCGAGUGGCGAACGGGUGAGUAACACGUGAGUAACCUGCCCUUGACUUUGGGAUAACUUCAGGAAACUGGGGCUAAUACCGGAUAGGAGCUCCUGCUGCAUGGUGGGGGUUGGAAAGUUUCGGCGGUUGGGGAUGGACUCGCGGCUUAUCAACUUGUUGGUGGGGUAGUGGCUUACCAAGGCUUUGACGGGUAGCCGGCCUGAGAGGGUGACCGGCCACAUUGGGCCUGAGGUACGGCCCAGACUCCUACGGGAGGCAGCAGUGGGGAAUAUUGCACAAUGGGCGGAAGCCUGAUGCAGCAACGCCGCGUGCGGGAUGACGGCCUUCGGGCUGUAAACCGCUUUCGCCUGUGACGAAGCGUGAGUGACGGUAAUGGGUAAAGAAGCACCGGCUAACUACGUG